UACGAAGGGUGCAAGCGUUAAUCGGAAUUACUGGGCGUAAAGCGUGCGUAGAUGGUGCGUUAAGUCGGAUGUGAAAGCCCCGGGCUCAACCUGGGAACUGCAUCCGAUACUGGCGGACUAGAGUGUGAUAGAGGAUGGCGGAAUUCCCGGUGUAGCGGUGAAAUGCGUAGAGAUCGGGAGGAACAUCCGUGGCGAAGGCGGCCAUCUGGAUCAACACUGACGUUGAGGCACGAAAGCGUGGGGAGCAAAC
rnacentral:rRNA from 1 species